rnacentral:misc_RNA from 1 species
CGCACCUUGCGCCCCUUGGUAUUCCGAGGGGCAUGCCUGUUUGAGUGUCUUGAAAUCAUCAAACCGAACCGGUCUUUGUCGGCCGGCGCGGUUUGGACUUGGGGGUUCCUUGCUGCCGCUCGCGGUGGCUCCCCUUAAAUUCAUCGGUCGGGCUUUCGUGCGGCUCUGUCCCUUGGCGUUGUAUUACCCUCGUCGCUGGAUGGCUCGCGAUACAGUGCCCGUCUUCGACCUGCCUCUGGAGUGGCGGUCUUCAACAUGUAUUUUGUGAUCUGACCUCAAAUCAGGUAGGACUACCCGCUGAACUUAA